rnacentral:rRNA from 1 species
CUUUCUGUAAAAUUCCACUCAUAUAUGUUUGGCAGGUCUGAAUAUCGUCGGUUUGUGACUCAAGAAAUAUGAGGGAACAGAUAUCGGAGUAGAUCAUGGAGUCAAAAGUUUUUCUUAUAUGAGGCCGGGUUAUAUACAUUGUUGUCAGAGUGGAUUUGGAGGAAGGACUCCUGUUCGAGCAUUAGGUUGGUUCCAUAUGUGUCGAUGUAGGAUUCGGUGGGGAAGUCAAUAACAUCGGAUGUGCCAUUUGUGGCGAUAAGUUCGAGACCGAUAGCGCACAAGUA